AUGUGUACCCGGGCUCUCUGCUGUGUGGUCCUUUGUCUCCUGAGAGGAGAGUCCACAGAUGCUGGAGUCACCCAGGAACCCAGGCACUAUGUGACAAAGAUGAGACAAGCAGUAACUCUGUCAUGUGAGCCAGUUUCAAACCACACUGCCCUUUUCUGGUACAGACAGACCUCAGUGAAGGGACUGAAGUUUCUGAUUUACUUCCGCAAUCAAGCUCCUAUAGCCCAGACAGGGAUGCCCAAGGACCGGUUCUCAGCUGAGAUGCCUAACAGAUCAUUGUCCACCCUGAAGAUCCAGCGCACAGAACCCGGGGACUCAGCCAUGUACAUCUGUGCCAGCAGCUUAGCCACAGCGCUGCAGUCACCCCCUCUCUGUUCAUAA